AUUGAACGCUGGCGGCAGGCCUAACACCUGCAAGUCGAACGAGUGGCGGACGGGUGAGUAAUGUCUGGGGAACUGCCUGAUAGAGGGGGAUAACUACUGGAAACGGUGGCUAAUACCGCAUACCAUCGGAUGUACCCAGAUGGGAUUAGCUAGUAGGUGGGGUAAAGGCUCACCUAGGCGACGAUCCCUAGCUGGGCUGAGAGGAUGACCAGCCACACUGGAACUGAGACAAGGUCCAGACUCCUACGGGAGGCAGCAGUGGGGAAUAUUGCACAAGGGGCGCAAGCCUGAUGCAGCCAUGCCGCGUGUAUGAAGAAGGCCUUCGGGUUGUAAAGUACUUUCAGCGGGGAGGCGUUACCCGCAGAAGAAGCACCGGCUAACUCCGUGCCAGCCGCCGCGGUAAUUC
rnacentral:rRNA from 1 species